rnacentral:rRNA from 1 species
UGGUGAACUAUACUUGAUCAGGUGAAGUCAGGGGAAACCUGAUGGAAGACCGAAACAGUUCUGACGUGAAAAUCGAUUGUCAGAAUUGAGUAUAGGGGCGAAAGACCAAUCGAACCAUCUAGUAGCUGGUUCCUUUCGAAGUUUCCCUCAGGAUAGCUGGUGCAUUUAAAUGUUAUAUAAAAUAAUCUUAUCUGGUAAAGCGAAUGAUUAGAGGCCUUAAGGUCGAAACGAUCUUAACUUAUUCUCAAACUUUAAAUGGGUAAGAACCUUAACUUUCUUGAUAUGAAGUUUAAGGUUAUGAUAUAUUGUGCCCAGUGGGCCACUUUUGGUAAGCAGAACUGGCGCUGUGGGAUGAACCAAACGUAAUGUUACGGUGCCCAAAUUAACAACUCAUACAGAAACCAUGAAAGGCGUUGGUUGCUUAAAACAGCAGGACGGUGAUCAUGGAAGUCGAAAUCCGCUAAGGAGUGUGUAACAACUCACCUGCCGCAGCAACUAGCCCUUAAAAUGGAUGACGCUUAAGUUGUAUACCUAUACAUUACCGCUAAAGUAGAUGAUUUAUAUUAUUUAUAAUAUAAAUUUUGAAACUUUAGUGGUUUAGGAAGGUACAAUGGUGUGCUUAGAAGUGUUUGGCGUAAGCCUGCAUGGAGCCGCCAUUGGUACAGAUCUUGGUGGUAGUAGCAAAUAAUCGAAUGAGACCUUGGAGGACUGAAGUGGAGAAGGGUUUCCUGUGAACAGUGGUUGAUCACGAGUUAGUCGGUCCUAAGUUCAAGGCGAAAGCCGAAAAUUUUCAAGUUUUAAAAAUGUCAAAUGAAAUAAUAAAUAAUAAAACACUUGAAUAAUUUUGAACGAAAGGGAAUACGGUUCCAAUUCCGUAACCUGUUGAGUAUCCGUUUGUUAUUAAAUAUGGGCCUCGUGCUCAUCCUGGCAACAGGAACGACCAUAAAGAAGCCGUCGAGAGGUAUCGGAAGGACAGGGUCCUGGUGAACGCAGAAGGUCAACGCAGAAAUGCUAUACUUCGUAAGUCCGGAUCCAGGUCAAGUCGACUCGAAACCUCCUCGUGGUGUCCUCUGGAUGCUAUCUAGGCCAUUGUCUAGUUAGUAACAGAUUCGAGCGGCGGUAUUCUGAAGGUCUAAUCCUGACGAAUAUUAGAUAACGUUGGAAUAUGGUCUAGGAUUACGUCCGCCUACUGAAAAUUUGAGUACACUUUUAAGUUGGAGCAAAAUCCAACAUAAAUGAAAUAUGAUUUGCCACAUUCUAAUCUUGGGGUUACAAACAAAUUAACCAAAGGCGCUUGCUGCCUCAGCUUGACAUCUAAAAGAAGGCACAAACAUCGCAUGGCUACAAGAAGAGGUUUUAGUACGUAGGCGCUGUGGAACUUUCUAGUUCUGAUGAUGCAGUGAAUCGUGCAUGCGGCAAUUCACCCGUAGUAAGGUGACCGUAUCUUUCGAAGAUUUCCUCCCUCUGCGAUCAAAAAAAAAAAAAAAAAAAAAUAGACAAAUGCCUCGUCAUCUAAUUAGUGACGCGCAUGAAUGGAUUAACGAGAUUCCUACUGUCCCUAUCUACUAUCUAGCGAAACCACAGUCAAGGGAACGGGCUUGGAAUAAUUAGCGGGGAAAGAAGACCCUUUUGAGCUUGACUCUAAUCUGGCAGUGUAAGGAGACAUAAGAGGUGUAGAAUAAGUGGGAGAUAUUUUUCCUUGUGUUUGAUAUCGCCAAUGAAAUACCACUACUCUUAUUGUUUCCUUACUUACUUGAUUAAAUGGAACGUGUAUCAUUUCCUAGCCAUUAUACGGAUAUAUUUAUUAUAUCUUAUGGUAUUGGGUUUUGAUGCAAGCUUCUUGAUCAAAGUAUCACGAGUUUGUUAUAUAAUCGCAAACAAAUUCUUUAAUGAGAGAGUGCAUUUAUGUAUUUUUAAUUUGAAAUAUUUGGUAUAACUCCAAUUACUCAGGUAUGAUCCAAUUCAAGGACAUUGCCAGGUAGGGAGUUUGACUGGGGCGGUACAUCUCUCAAUAAUAACAAACGUGUCCCAAGGCCAGCUCAGUGCGGACAGAAACCACACAUAGA